GUGUGUAGUAGCGGAAUGAAAAAAAAAUUGGAUCCAUCAGGUUCGACACUAUUAAUUGCUACCAGCUUACAUUUUACAUCUUCACAUCUGUAUUCGGACGCUGAACGAGUAAUUUUCUUUAUAUCACCUUCAAACGCAUGCAAUAUUUGGGAGGAAAAUGGACUAUCAAAUGCAUCAUAACAAUCAAGUAAUUUGAAACCCUGAAUAACAAUUGAUCCGUGUUCUUUAGUAGCAGAAUGGUACUUCACAAUACAAUUAUCAGUUGUCAAAAACCAAGAAUCAUGAAAAUAAUUUCUCAGUAGACAACCACUUCGUAAAUGUAACUGCAUGCUACGAUUUUUUUGAAUUUUAAGGAAAGGAAAUUGUACUCUAGUCAUAUUGAUAGGCUUACAAUUCAUUAAUUCAAUUUUUCUAUUAGCUAUCUGUUGCAAAUUUUUGUAUCCUGAUCUGAGCAUAUUUUUCAUGGAGUGUAAGUCGUUUUCAAAUUUAAAAGUUGAAAGGGUAGGCAAUUUUCCAAAUUUAUCUACGUCCUUGUAAAUAUGUUGUAAAUUCUGUAGAAAUUAGAAAUUCGAAUUUGUAUAUACCUCACACAUACACCUUGACAUCCUUACACAUACACCUUUUCUAUAUGUACAUCUUGUUUGUGCGAUCACACCUAGGUUUAAGUAUCUCAGGCAAUACUGUCAAAUAGAGAUGUCAUUCGUGAUUGAGCGCUAAAACAGAAAA